rnacentral:rRNA from 1 species
UACGAAGGGGGCUAGCGUUGCUCGGAAUCACUGGGCGUAAGGGUGCGUAGGCGGGUCUUUAAGUCAGGGGUGAAUCCUGGAGCUCAACUCCAGAACUGCCUUUGAUACUGAAGAUCUUGAGUUCGGGAGAGGUGAGUGGAACUGCGAGUGUAGAGGUGAAAUUCGUAGAUAUUCGCAAGAACACCAGUGGCGAAGGCGGACUCACUGGCCCGAUACCUGACGC